rnacentral:ncRNA from 1 species
CUCUGGGUCCGACUGUUGAUCCAGGGCAGAAAGAG